rnacentral:rRNA from 1 species
GACGAACGCUGGCGGCGUGCCUAAUACAUGCAAGUAGAACGCUGAAGAGAGGAGCUUGCUCUUCUUGGAUGAGUUGCGAACGGGUGAGUAACGCGUAGGUAACCUGCCUUGUAGCGGGGGAUAACUAUUGGAAACGAUAGCUAAUACCGCAUAACAAUGGAUGACACAUGUCAUUUAUUUGAAAGGGGCAAUUGCUCCACUACAAGAUGGACCUGCGUUGUAUUAGCUAGUAGGUGAGGUAAUGGCUCACCUAGGCGACGAUACAUAGCCGACCUGAGAGGGUGAUCGGCCACACUGGGACUGAGACACGGCCCAGACUCCUACGGGAGGCAGCAGUAGGGAAUCUUCGGCAAUGGGGGCAACCCUGACCGAGCAACGCCGCGUGAGUGAAGAAGGUUUUCGGAUCGUAAAGCUCUGUUGUAAGUCAAGAACGGGUGUGAGAGUGGAAAGUUCACACUGUGACGGUAGCUUACCAGAAAGGGACGGCUAACUACGUGCCAGCAGCCGCGGUAAUACGUAGGUCCCGAGCGUUGUCCGGAUUUAUUGGGCGUAAAGCGAGCGCAGGCGGUUUGAUAAGUCUGAAGUUAAAGGCUGUGGCUCAACCAUAGUUCGCUUUGGAAACUGUCAAACUUGAGUGCAGAAGGGGAGAGUGGAAUUCCAUGUGUAGCGGUGAAAUGCGUAGAUAUAUGGAGGAACACCGGUGGCGAAAGCGGCUCUCUGGUCUGUAACUGACGCUGAGGCUCGAAAGCGUGGGGAGCGAACAGGAUUAGAUACCCUGGUAGUCCACGCCGUAAACGAUGAGUGCUAGGUGUUGGAUCCUUUCCGGGAUUCAGUGCCGCAGCUAACGCAUUAAGCACUCCGCCUGGGGAGUACGACCGCAAGGUUGAAACUCAAAGGAAUUGACGGGGGCCCGCACAAGCGGUGGAGCAUGUGGUUUAAUUCGAAGCAACGCGAAGAACCUUACCAGGUCUUGACAUCCCGAUGCUAUUUCUAGAGAUAGAAAGUUACUUCGGUACAUCGGUGACAGGUGGUGCAUGGUUGUCGUCAGCUCGUGUCGUGAGAUGUUGGGUUAAGUCCCGCAACGAGCGCAACCCCUAUUGUUAGUUGCCAUCAUUCAGUUGGGCACUCUAGCGAGACUGCCGGUAAUAAACCGGAGGAAGGUGGGGAUGACGUCAAAUCAUCAUGCCCCUUAUGACCUGGGCUACACACGUGCUACAAUGGUUGGUACAACGAGUUGCGAGUCGGUGACGGCGAGCUAAUCUCUUAAAGCCAAUCUCAGUUCGGAUUGUAGGCUGCAACUCGCCUACAUGAAGUCGGAAUCGCUAGUAAUCGCGGAUCAGCACGCCGCGGUGAAUACGUUCCCGGGCCUUGUACACACCGCCCGUCACACCACGAGAGUUUGUAACACCCGAAGUCGGUGAGGUAACCUUUUGGAGCCAGCCGCCUAAGGUGGGACAGAUGAUUGGGGUGAAGUCG